rnacentral:rRNA from 1 species
UACGGAGGGUGCAAACGUUGCUCGGAAUCAUUGGGCGUAAAGCGCACGUAGGCGGUCGGCUAUGUCGGAUGUGAAAGCCUCGGGCUUAACCCGAGAAGGGCAUCCGAAACUGCAUGGCUGGAGUCUCGGAGAGGAAGGUGGAAUGCUUGGUGUAGAGGUGAAAUUCGUAGAUAUCAAGCAGAACACCUGCGGCGAAGGCGGCCUUCUGGACGAUGACUGACGCUGAGACGCGAAAGCGUGGGGAGCAAACAGG